GGACUGCUGGGCCGGAGAGGAGGCCGCGAGCGGAGAGCGGGGUGUGGGCACGGAGGGCGUGGCAAAUGUAGGGGGCUUUGCUGGAAGGGACUAAUCCAGAGGAGUAAGAAUAAUUUGCUGAUGAAGGACAGUGAGGGUCAGCGCGUUGUGGGGAAGGAACACAGCGUAGGCAAGCGUGGGGCGGAGCGUGGGCUGGCGCUGGGCACUCCGGCGGGUGAGGGCCUCUGUAGAGGUGGGGGCGGGACUUGUGCAGGUAAGGGGUGGAGCUUUCCUAAUGAGGAGCCCGUCCUGGACAGACAGUCUCUCACAGAACCUGGAGCUCACUGAUUUGGCUAGCCUAAAUGGCCAGUAAUCUCCAGGCAUCGUCCUGACUCUGCUUCCACAGAGAGGCUUUCUCUGUGUGUAGUGCUGGCUGUCCUGGAACUUACUCUGUAGCCCAGGCUGGCCUCCUUAUCCCUCCACAUCUUGUCCGAAGUAAGAUGAAGAAUAAUCCUGUUUUAGCAUCAAGGUCUUCAAGGAUAAGUGAGUGUGGUCAAAGAUGAAUCCAAGUUCAAAGAGAAGAGGGAGACACGAACUGGAUGGCUCCUGGCAGACCUUCCCUCUACUGAUAUGAAAUAUAAAUGUGAAAAUUUCAUCAAAGGAACCCUCCACACUAUCCAGGAAGCCUCCUAGUGUGAGCUGAGAUGAUCAAAGAUAGACUUAUAGGAGAGUACCAGAAAGGACAGAAGGACCUGGAGAGAACAGGAACUCCACAAGAAGACCAACAGAGCCAACUAACCUGGACCCAGGCAGCCUGUGGAGACUGAAGCACCAAUCAAGGACCAUGCAUGGACUGGACCUAGGUCCCUACACAUAUGCUUCCAAUGGGCAGCUUGGUCUUCGUGUGGUUUCCCUAGUAAGGGGGGGAGGGGCUGUCUCUGAUGAGGACUGUUGACUGCUUUUUGAUCACUUUACCCUGGUGGGGCUGCCUUACCAGGCCAUAGGGAAUAGGAUGCAGCUGGUCCUGAUGCAACUUGAUGUGCUAGAGUGGUUUGGUGUGGAGUGGAGCUUCCUUUUUUUUGAGGGGAGGGGAAAUGGCAGGAAGAGGGAGGGAAGGUGGGACUGGGAGGUAAAGUGAAUAAAUAAAUUAAUUAAUUAAAAAAAUUAAGAGAUCUGAGGUGCUGCAGGAAUAGUCAUGGGUCCUAGACUUGAUGGCAAUUUGAGCUUAACACUCAUAAUUGAGAUAAAGCUUAGCAAGCAGGUAUGGAAACAGAAUGAUUAAGUGUAAGUACAGAGCCGCUAAAGGUUUGGUGAUUGGCUCCGGGGGUUGAGAAAUGGGAAGUCCUGAAAUGCAACAUUUACAGUUUGAUGUAAGGGGUCUCACUAUGAAUGACUCCCAUGACCAGCAUGAAAUUAGAGAAGGCAGUUACUAGCAAGUUGCUUUCAAGCAGACAUAGCACAGCCUUGAUAGUCAUCCAACCCAUUCCCCCCAUUUGUGGCAACUUUAGACAAGGAACUAACACAACACAGUAAUGGUUUUCAUACAGAAUUGCACCGUGCAGAGAGAAGGACUCAUAAGCAAGUCUAUGGGAGUCGGUAGACUGUACUCUCAGCCUUUCUCCAAAGGCUGCUGGAAUGUCCACCAGUUCCCCAAUGAUAUAAGGGGAAGUUAAUUCCAGAAAUGCACCUUGAUCGCUUUUUUGCACAUAUAAAACCAAAUCAUUUAGCUAAUUCUUGAAAUUAUUCACACGUAAUGUUUCAAAAGAAAAUAUUCAACAAGGUGAUAAUACUGUGUUGAGUUUUCAAAUCUCCAAGGCCAUCCUCAUGUUGGAGAAUUCACUGAAAGACCUCACAGAAGUCACUGAAAAUGACUGUUGCAGAGUGACAGAUUAUUGCAGAUGAAGGGUAGAGAUAGGAAGAGAUUGAGAGAGGAGAGGGUGGAGAAUCCCAUGGAAAGCACCUCCAAUCGGCCCCUCUCAGUAAUCAAGGACAACCCUAACUGUUCCCAGAGAUGAUGUAUGAUAAGACAUGUUGAGUCCAGCCAGACAGAAAAGCUUCUAGAUCAUUGUGUCCAGAGAUUUUUUUUUUAAGUGGUAUCUGGUCACUUAUAUAUGGUUGACUGCCUACCUGGAUGAACUUUAUUUCCCCAGAUGUUUAAGUCCAUUUGUGUUGAGCAAGGGCUAUAAAGUUAUUUCUUACUAAGACUGUGAAGUCAAUGACCAAGGCAUCAGCAGGUUCAGUGUCUGAGGAGAGCUGGUCUCUGCUUUCACAAUGGACUCAUUGCCCUAUUUUGUUGCCCUAUUCUACAGGGAAAACAAUAUUAUUUCCUCAUAAGACAGAAGGAAUGGAAGAAAGAGAACCAGCUCCCUUUAACUUCAGAUCCACUUGUGAGGGUUAUAACUCCCCCUCCUAUCGCUUUCAGGGAUGUGAUUCAACAUGGAUUUAGUAGAAGACCAACACCUGUUUGAAACAAAGCCCCAUGGCAUAAUAUAAAACUAGACUAUACUACCCAAACACUUUUGCCACUCAGGACUUUCAAAUAUCUGAAAGGAGAUCUUCCAGCAUCUGUUCAAGCAAGAGUUCCUUUGGGACAAGGUGAACUAUUUACUUCAUGUUCUUUAAAGUUUUAUUGUCAUUCUUUUUUAAACUUGAAAUUUUUUAAAAUUUUAUUACUUUAUUAUUUUAUUACUUUGUAUGGGUAUGUUGCCUGCCUGUAUCUCUGUACUCUGUAUAUGUGCCUGAUGCCUACAUUGGAUCCCGUGUAACUAGACUUACAGAAUUGUGAGACUUACUCAAUUAUGUUAAUUGAGAUAGAAAAACCCACCUCCUAUGGGUGGCACCAUUCCCUGUCAGUGACCUUGGAUGUAUAAAAUGGAGAAAGGAACUGUGUCCUAGAAGUGUAUGUAUCCGUGCUUUCUUCUUAUGACUGUGGACGUAAUGUGGUCAGUGCUUCUAGCUCCUGCUGUCUUGAGUUCCCUGCCGCGAUAGACUGUACCUCGACUUGUAAGCUAAC